ensembl:lncRNA
CUACAGGACUACCAGUGUGUCUAGACAGGACUACCAGUGUGUCUAGACAGGACUACCAGUAGGUCUAGACAGGACUACCAGUAGGUCUAGACAGGACUACCAGUCAGUAUGGGACGUAGACUAGGUGUUUCUUCCCCCAUCACCUCCUGCCUCAUCCUGAAACCGCCAUGUGAUGGCUGACCUGUCAAUCAGACUGAUGGGUAACUAACGAGGAUCCUGGAAAACUGAGACACGCCGUCUACCAGGAUUAUCAACAACUUAUUCCCAUGGCUGCAAGCACGCACACACACACACACACACACACACACACACAAACACACACACACACCCAUCUGAAUGCCUUGAGCGGAGGUCCUGCUUGGCGUCAGUAAGAAGGUGAGGUAAUACACCCUGCGGAGAUUGGAAUUUGAGCCACAGGUGGCUAUUCAACUGCUGCAGCAGGGGCUCCGUGUGAGUUAUAUCACAGUAGUCAGCCGAUGCCUGGGAAAUAUGCUUCAGUACUGGGAAUGUUCCCUAUGUUUCAGUCACUGUCUGGUAAAUAUGGGUCAGUACUGAGAAUGUUCCCUACGUUUUAGUUGGUACUGGGAAUGUUCCCUACGUUUCAGUUGGUACUGAGAAUGUUCCCUACGUUUCAGUUGGUACUGGGAAUGUUCCCUACGUUUCAGUUGGUCCUGAGAAUGUUCCCUACGUUUCAGUUGGUACUGGGAAUGUUCCCUACGUUUCAGUUGGUACUGGGAAUGUUCCCUACGAUUCAGUUGGUACUGAGAAUUUUCCCUACAUUUCAGUUGGUACUGGGAAUGUUUCCUACGAUUCAGUUGGUACUGAGAAUUUUCCCUACGUUUCAGUUGGUACUGGGAAUGUUCCCUACGAUUCAGUUGGUACUGAGAAUUUUCCCUACGUUUCAGUUGGUACUGGGAAUGUUCCCUACGUUUCAGUCACUGUCUGGUAAAUAUGGUUC